rnacentral:lncRNA from 1 species
UCUCUCUAUUUCGACCCUAGAUUUAUAAGUAGAGAUAUUAAUUUUAAAAAAAAAAAAAGGAAAAAACAAAAAAGACAAAAAAACAAAAAAAAAAUAUAUAUAUUAAUAUAUAUAUAUAAUAUGAUUUAGUUAGGUGGAAUCCGAACAUGACCUGGCGGCUACAACCAUUAAGGCUUGCUUCAUAAGGAUUCCAACAAAAAGAAUUCGAACAGGACUUGGUGGCGGCAAUCAUCAAGGUUUGAUUCACAUGAAAUCUUGGAUAUAGGUCAAAAAGAAGUGAACAUGACUUGGUGGCAACCACUAUUAAGGCCUGAUUCAUGGAAGCCUGUCCAAUCUUGGUCAAUGAUCCUGCAAUGGAAGCAUAAUUUGACUAAAGAGAGAAAUUAGUAGAGAGAAAAGAUAGGAACUAACUUUUACCUGCAGAUCCAAAUACUUGUUUGAAAAUCAUUGCAUCCUGUGAUCGAUACUAAGUUGUUGGCUAGUUGAAUUUGGUAGUGGGGAAUGUAAGAAAGGAUUUGCUAAGUUGUUAGCUAGUUAAAUUUGGUUGUUAAGCUAGGAUAUGGUAUAAUGUGCUUUUGUGAUUAGGACUUCUUAGAUAUGGAUUGCAAUAUUGCAGAGGUGAUAAUUCUAAGUUUUAAAUCAUGUGAGUCCCUGUUGUUUUCAAACCUCAUUCAAAGAGACUGCUUGUAUGUUUUGCUUGAUGAAACAGCAUUGGUGUCGAUCGACAGUGAUGCCAGAAUGUGGGUCAAGCAUAAUUCAAGACGGAUUGAAGCCC